rfam:Bacillus sp. LL01 scaffold3.1, whole genome shotgun sequence.
AUAAAAAAAACCCUGCUCGGAUGUCCGGGCAGGGUCCUUCCAUCCCUUGAUAUAAUCAAGGUUAAGAAGGCAAAGGGAGAGGAGAAACCGGAGGAAGAACUUAUGGGGAAACGUAAGUCUUCUCCGCGG